AUUAGUUACACAUUGAAGAGGACCCUUCUUACAACCUGCGAAGUGAUCAAGGUUUGGCACACUUCACUUCUGUCUGUCUCGUAAUCCAACUAUUUCACUUCAUGAUCUCGGCAUCAUGGAAUCAGUUAUCACCUCCAACAAGACUCCAUUAUUAACAUUGGAAGAAUGGAACGGUUCAUCCCCCACUAAGCUCUCCAAGACUUUCACCAUCAAAGCCUCUUCUUCCUCUUUCUCCAUACAUAGAUCUGGUGCCCGCUUUACCCAUGUUUGGAGACGCUUUCUUCAAGCAUUUAUUCCUGAGGCAAGCUUCUAUAUCAUAACUAUCGUCGAUUGUAACUACUAUAUUACUAUGUGAUUGUUGAAAGGGUUUCUCUUUCAGGGUUUUCCAAGCAGUGUUACUCCGGAUUAUGUUCCUUUUCAAAUUUGGGAUUUAUUGCAGGGACUUUCAACAUAUAUAAGGACCAUGCUUUCUACCCAGGCUCUCUUGAGUGCUAUUGGAGUUGGUGAGAAAUCAGCUACUGUCCUUGGUGCCACUUUUCAG